ACAGGGAUUGCCCUAGUAACGGCGAGUGAAGCGGCAACAGCUCAAAUUUGAAAUCUGGCGUCUUCGGCGUCCGAGUUGUAAUUUGCAGAGGGCGCUUUGGCAUUGGCAGCGGUCCAAGUUCCUUGGAACAGGACGUCACAGAGGGUGAGAAUCCCGUACGUGGUCGCUAGCCUUUACCGUGUAAAGCCCCUUCGACGAGUCGAGUUGUUUGGGAAUGCAGCUCUAAAUGGGAGGUAAAUUUCUUCUAAAGCUAAAUACUGGCCAGAGACCGAUAGCGCACAAGUAGAGUGAUCGAAAGAUGAAAAGCACUUUGGAAAGAGAGUUAAAAAGCACGUGAAAUUGUUGAAAGGGAAGCGCUUGCAGCCAGACUUGCCUGUAGUUGCUCAUCCGGGUUUCUACCCGGUGCACUCUUCUAUGGGCAGGCCAGCAUCAGUUUGGGCGGUUGGAUAAAGGUCUCUGUCAUGUACCUCUCUUCGGGGAGAACUUAUAGGGGAGACGUCAUGCAACCAGCCUGGACUGAGGUCCGCGCAUCUGCUAGGAUGCUGGCGUAAUGGCUGUAAGCGGCCCGUCUUGAAACACGGACCAAGGAGUCUAACAUCUAUGCGAGUGUUUGGGUGUCAAGCCCGAGCGCGUAAUGAAAGUGAACGGAGGUGGGAACCUUUCGGGGUGCACCAUCGACCGAUCCUGAUGUCUUCGGAUGGAUUUGAGUAAGAGCAUAGCUGUUGGGACCCGAAAGAUGGUGAACUAUGCUUGAAUAGGGUGAAGCCAGAGGAAACUCUGGUGGAGGCUCGCAGCGGUUCUGACGUGCAAAUCGAUCGUCAAAUUUGGGCAUAGGGGCGAAAGACUAAUCGAACUAUCUAGUAGCUGGUUCCUGCCG
rnacentral:rRNA from 1 species